rnacentral:lncRNA from 1 species
AAAUAAUUAAAAUGGCCUUAUUACAGCCCAAAACCAAACAAUAAUAUUAAUAAGAUAAAACUUAUAAAGAAAUAAAUUAGCUACUUAUUGCAAUUAAAAGAAACAGAAACAGUAGUGUGGCCAUCUCCGAGUCCCUCGCAGCUCCAAACCAUCUAAGCUUAGGGAUUACCUGCACAGUUAGAAAUGGGGUGAAUUUACGAAAACUCAGUGUGUAAUCCUAAUAACAAACAAACAGUGAAAACACAGUAUCAGUACAAUCUGGGCUAAAGCCCUAUUUAGUCUUGACAUAUACUGGGCCGAAGCCUUUCGUUUAACGGUUACUGGGCCGAAGCCUUUACUGUAAACGGUAUAGCUCUUAGGCCCAUUUCAAUAUCACAUGUAAUGUCAAUGGAUGUAUGCAAGCCCAUUUCAAUAUCACAUGAAAUACCAAUGAAUGUAUGCAAGCCCAUUUGGAGAGACUACUCAAUCCUCCAUCCGCUACUCUCCACCCGUACCAACCAACACACCAUGUGGGGAAUAACUCAACCCACCCAACCAACACACCACUGGCAGCAUAGCUACUUUAUCAUAUAUCUGAAGGCCUAGCCUCUUUAAUAACUGGGGCAAAGCCCUUUUCAAUAAACUGGGGCAUAAGCCCUUUUCGGUAAACAAGGGCAUAAGCCCUUUUCAAUAAACUGGGGCAUAAGCCCUUUUGCACUUCCUCCAUCCAUAUAAAAACCCAACCCAAUGCAACAUGUCAUGUGUGCAGAAUGUCAUGCCCAUAUUUGAAUAAACAAUCACAGUCAAGUCAUUCAUAUCACCAACAUAUAUUCACAAUCAAAUCCAUCAACCACACAUUCCAAGUCAGUCACUUGCCCACAAGGGCAAAACAAUUAUUUUUCAUAUUAUAAGGGUAUUUUCGUAAUUUUACCAAAUAUCAGUGUUUUCCAUGUUCAUUACAAUUAUCAAUAUUUUCGAGUGUUUAAACAAUGAUCUUUAACCCGCUUUAUCAAAUUCGGGCUUUUGGGCCCAAAACCCCUAAUGGGCCCUACGAAUGCUGAUUUAGCUUACUUAACCCAAAUUUUACAACAAUACUAACCGUGUUAACGUGCAACUUUUCAAAAUUCCAUUUUCUAUCAAUUCUACCCAAAUGGGUCCGAAAGCCCAUUGGGCCCAAUUUUAGCCCAUUGAGGCCCAACUUACCAUCGUGCACAAAAUCGAGUUCUUACCUGUUCCAUCGAUCCAAAAACUGAUCUUAUCGUAUUUAUCGCAUCUAUACCCAAACGCAACAUUACAAGUCCCCGAAAUAUUGGUAUUUUAGCAUUUCGGCUUCUCAGCAAAUAUUAAUCUAAGCUAUUACGAGGGUUAGUACACACCUGUUACGGGUUGAAGUUGAAACGUUUCCAAAAUCAAUCGCCUACGAUAACCACCACCUGUCACUCAAAC